UUCUUUAUCACCGAGUGCUUGCACUCACCGAUAAAGAGUUGAGUGGCGAACGGGUGAGUAACACGUGGGCAACCUGCCCAAAAGAGGGGGAUAACACUUGGAAACAGGUGCUAAUACCGCAUAACCAUAGUUACCGCAUGGUAACUAUGUAAAAGGUGGCUAUGCUACCGCUUUUGGAUGGGCCCGCGGCGCAUUAGCUAGUUGGUGGGGUAAAGGCUUACCAAGGCAAUGAUGCGUAGCCGAACUGAGAGGUUGAUCGGCCACAUUGGGACUGAGACACGGCCCAAACUCCUACGGGAGGCAGCAGUAGGGAAUCUUCCACAAUGGGCGAAAGCCUGAUGGAGCAACGCCGCGUGGGUGAAGAAGGUCUUCGGAUCGUAAAACCCUGUUGUUAGAGAAGAAAGUGCGUGAGAGUAACUGUUCACGUUUCGACGGUAUCUAACCAGAAAGCCACGGCUAACUACGUGCCAGCAGCCGCGGUAAUACGUAGGUGGCAAGCGUUAUCCGGAUUUAUUGGGCGUAAAGGGAACGCAGGCGGUCUUUUAAGUCUGAUGUGAAAGCCUUCGGCUUAACCGGAGUAGUGCAUUGGAAACUGGGAGACUUGAGUGCAGAAGAGGAGAGUGGAACUCCAUGUGUAGCGGUGAAAUGCGUAGAUAUAUGGAAGAACACCAGUGGCGAAAGCGGCUCUCUGGUCUGUAACUGACGCUGAGGUUCGAAAGCGUGGGUAGCAAACA
rnacentral:rRNA from 1 species